GUGUAGUUAGAAGGCACACGCAAAAAGAAGACGGACCUUUUGUCUCGCCAAGCUAUCGGUCAGCAUCCGGGUGACUCGCUUUACACGGUUUGUUCGGGUUUUUCCGACGCGGAGCGACGAGCCGCGUGCCGAAGGACGACGGAAGAGGCGAGCGGAGCGCCGGGUGAAGGCGGGCCGGCGUCCGAUGUCGGCGGAUCGGCACAACUGUCGGCGGUUCUGACUGGCUUAUGCUUUUUCAGUUUAUGCUUUUCUAGAUGCAAAUCGAUGUAUGAAGCGGGAUAUCCGCACCGGAGCGGACUUUGGCAAGAUUUACAGAGGGCGGGCCGGGCUCGGCACAGAGGACCGAAGAAUCUGACUCUGAGCGGCCGAGGGGCCGUGCUCCUUUGCAGAGGGGCGAAGCUGCACAGCCGCAAGCGGUCGGAGAAAAGGCGAGAGACUCGUUAAGCGGUCCGCUCCGGCUCAAAUUUCCGAGGAGCUCACGGUAACUCGGCCGAGCGUUUGUCUCUGGUUUUGCCGGUGCCGCGAAGG